UAAUACGUAGGGUGCGAGCGUUAAUCGGAAUUACUGGGCGUAAAGGGUGCGCAGGCGGUUUUGUAAGUCAGAUGUGAAAUCCCCGGGCUUAACCUGGGAAUUGCGUUUGAAACUACAAGACUAGAGUGUGGCAGAGGGAGGUGGAAUUCCAUGUGUAGCAGUGAAAUGCGUAGAGAUAUGGAAGAACAUCGAUGGCGAAGGCAGCCUCCUGGGUUAACACUGACGCUCAUGCACGAAAGCGUGGGGAGCAAACAGGAUUAGAUACCCUGGUAGUCCACGCCCUAAACGAUGUCAACUAGUUGUCGGGCCUUACUAGGCUUGGUAACGAAGCUAACGCGUGAAGUUGACCGCCUGGGGAGUACGGUCGCAAGAUUAAAACUUAAAGGAAUUGACGG
rnacentral:rRNA from 1 species